rnacentral:misc_RNA from 1 species
GGAUCAAACUCUGUCUAUUCCUGUUUCUAAGAUGGAGUAGGUAGCAAUGGGAUAAGUCCGUUUAGACUUCUAACAGUAUGAGGAAAGUUAGUUAAGGAAUGCAACCAGAGCAAGUAAAAGUUAUAGGAUGUGCAAUGGUGUCUUGAACUGUCCUAUCAGGCAAAUGAGUGAAUUAAUAAGUAGUAAGUUAAAUAAAAGUAAACCUAAUGGUUCAAAUAGGCAUGAUGAACAAAAAUGAUGGUGGAAAAUGACACAUAGGCUUAGGACCUGAGUAGAGGUGGUGAGAUAGCAAUUAUGGGGUCUGCGAUCAAGGAUUAGGUAAGCAUUUUUAGUAUGACCAAUAAGGUCACUUUAUAAGGAAACAUGAAUGAAAAUGAGUGACAGAACGACAGGAGGAGAUAGAGCAGAAAGAGAUAUGUAUGAGUCACAGUCACAAGUCAUUGAGAAGUACAAGGAUAAGAGUUAUGACAAUAAGCAUGAUUGGAAUCCAGUUUGGAAGAUUUUAUUAGUGAGAGGUAUCUUCUUGAAUAUAGUAAAAUAUAGGGAUGCAAAAGAGUUAAGGUAGGCAUAAAAAGGUAGAAAUGGAGUACAAGUGGAGAUAGAAAAUCUUAAGAUGAUAUAUUAGGCAAAUCAGUGGUACAAUAGAAGGAUUGCUGUAGUUGAUAUCUUAUAUAGAGAUGAUGAAAUUUCAAGGAGAGACCAAGAGACAUGAAUGGUGUGUUGAUGUCAGUAGGAGGAGAUUUCACAUUCUCUUCAAGUUUAGAUCGUACCAUUGGCUCUAGAAGUCUACAUAAGCAAAGGAAAUAAUGUUGUGAUAACCUAGUAUUUAAGAACCUGAUAGUCACCAGUCUGUACAUAUUCUUCUUAAAAAGAAAAUAAUGGUAAGCGUGUACCUGAUGUUAUGUAUGAAAGGACGAUCAGAGUAGUGACCGGAAUUAAGUCGAGUUAGUCACCAGGGCUCGCAACCCUUCUGAACUAUAAGCUAGAGGAAGAGCUAGUUGUGAAUAAGUUUUAGUGGAUGAAAUUGUUGCUGAUGGGUAACUUUAAGGCUGAAGUAUGGAGAGCCGUGGGCGGUAUUUGUGGUUGUAUUAAGGAGAAUGAACACGUGAAAUAUCUUGUUUAGAAUUAAGGCAU